rnacentral:rRNA from 1 species
UACGUAGGGUGCAAGCGUUGUCCGGAUUUACUGGGCUUAAAGGGUGUGUAGGCGGGCUGGUUAGUCGAAGAUGAAAUACCGGGGCUUAACUCCGGGGCUAUUUUCGAUACUGCCAGUCUUGAGCGCAGACGAAGCGGCUGGAAUGAACGGCGUAGCGGUGAAAUGCGUAGAUAUCGUUCAGAACGCCAAUUGCGAAGGCAGGUCGCCGGUCUGAUGCUGACGCUGAGGCACGAAAGCGUGGGGAGCAAACAGG